rnacentral:rRNA from 1 species
UACGUAGGGGGCUAGCGUUAUCCGGAAUUACUGGGCGUAAAGGGUGCGUAGGUGGUUUCUUAAGUCAGAGGUGAAAGGCUACGGCUCAACCGUAGUAAGCCUUUGAAACUGGGAAACUUGAGUGCGGGAGAGGAGAGUGGAAUUCCUAGUGUAGCGGUGAAAUGCGUAGAUAUUAGGAGGAACACCAGUUGCGAAGGCGGCUCUCUGGACUGUAACUGACACUGAGGCACGAAAGCGUGGGGAGCAAACAGGAUUAGAUACCCCUGUAGUCCCUGAGCGGG